rnacentral:rRNA from 1 species
GAUGAACGCUGGCGGCGUGCCUAAUACAUGCAAGUCGAGCGAACAGACGAGGAGCUUGCUCCUCUGACGUUAGCGGCGGACGGGUGAGUAACACGUGGAUAACCUACCUAUAAGACUGGGAUAACUUCGGGAAACCGGAGCUAAUACCGGAUAAUAUAUUGAACCGCAUGGUUCAAUAGUGAAAGACGGUUUUGCUGUCACUUAUAGAUGGAUCCGCGCCGCAUUAGCUAGUUGGUAAGGUAACGGCUUACCAAGGCAACGAUGCGUAGCCGACCUGAGAGGGUGAUCGGCCACACUGGAACUGAGACACGGUCCAGACUCCUACGGGAGGCAGCAGUAGGGAAUCUUCCGCAAAGGGCGAAAGCCUGACGGAGCAACGCCGCGUGAGUGAUGAAGGUCUUCGGAUCGUAAAACUCUGUUAUUAGGGAAGAAAAAAUGUGUAAGAAAAUAUGCACGUCUUGACGGUACCUAAUGAGAAAGCCACGGCUAACUACGUG